CAAAUUAGAGCUUGUGAAAGUAUUUCAUUUACAUUGAAGAGAAAUUAAAAUUUAAUUAAUUUGA
rnacentral:tRNA from 1 species